rnacentral:rRNA from 1 species
CCUACGGGAGGCAGCAGUGGGGAAUAUUGGGCAAUGGAGGAAACUCUGACCCAGCGACGCCGCGUGCGGGAUGAAGGCCUUCGGGUUGUAAACCGCUUUCAGCAGGGAAGAAGCGAAAGUGACGGUACCUGCAGAAGAAGCACCGGCUAACUAUGUGCCAGCAGCCGCGGUAAUACAUAGGGUGCAAGCGUUGUCCGGAAUUAUCGGGCGUAAAGAGCUCGUAGGUGGUUCGUCACGUCGGAUGUGAAACUCUGGGGCUUAACCCCAGACCUGCAUUCGAUACGGGCGAGCUUGAGUAUGGUAGGGGAGUCUGGAAUUCCUGGUGUAGCGGUGGAAUGCGCAGAUAUCAGGAGGAACACCAAUGGCGAAGGCAGGACUCUGGGCCAUUACUGACACUGAGGAGCGAAAGCGUGGGGAGCGAACAGGAUUAGAUACCCUGGUAGUCCACGCCGUAAACGGUGGGCACUAGUUGUGGGGACCUUCCACGGUCUCUGCGACGCAGCUAACGCAUUAAGUGCCCCGCCUGGGGAGUACGAUCGCAAGAUUAAAACUCAAAGGAAUUGACGG